GAUGAACGCUGGCGGCGUGCCUAAUACAUGCAAGUCGAGCGAAGCGGGGACGGGUGAGUAACACGUUGAUAACCUCCUAUAAGACUGGGAUAACUUCGGGAAACCGGAGCUAAACCGGAUAAUUAUAGCUGGAUCCGCGCCGUAUUAGCUAGUUGGUAAGGUAACGGCUUACCAAGGCAACGAUGCGUAGCAGACCUGAGAGGGUGAUCGGCCACACUGGAACUGAGACACGGUCCAGACUCCUACGGGAGGCAGCAGUAGGGAAUCUUCCGCAAUGGGCGAAAGCCUGACGGAGCAACGCCGCGUGAGUGAUGAAGGUCUUCGGAUCGUAAAACUCUGUUAUUAGGGAAGCGGUACCUAAUCAGAAAGCCACGGCUAACUACGUGCCAGCAGCCGCGGUAAUAC
rnacentral:rRNA from 1 species